UACAGAGGUCCCAAGCGUUGUUCGGAUUCACUGGGCGUAAAGGGUGCGUAGGUGGUUGGGUAAGUUUGAUGUGAAAGCUCCGAGCUUAACUCGGAAAUUGCAUUGAAUACUAUCUGGCUAGAGGGUUGGAGGGGGGACUGGAAUUCUCGGUGUAGCGGUGGAAUGCGUAGAGAUCCGGAAGAACACCAGUGGCGAAGGCGGCCCGCUGGGCAGUGGCUGACGCUGAGGCGCGACAGCGUGGGGAGCAAACAGG
rnacentral:rRNA from 1 species